rnacentral:rRNA from 1 species
GUGCAAANUGUGAGGAAGGUGGGGAUGAUGUCAAAUCAUCACGGCCCUUACGCCUUGGGNNACACACGUGNUACAAUGGCCGGUACAGAGAGCAGCCACUGGGUGACCAGGAGCGAAUCUAUAAAGCCGGUCACAGUUCGGAUCGGAGUCUGCAANUCGACUCCGUGAAGCUGGAAUCGCUAGUAAUCGGAUAUCAGCCAUGAUCCGGUGAAUACGUUUCCCGGGCCUUGUACACACCGCCCGUCAAGCCAUGGAAGCUGGGGG